GCCAGGCAUGGUGGCGCAUGCCUGUCGUUCUUGCUACUCAGGAGGCUGAGGCCAGAGGAUUGCUAGAACCCAGGAGUUUGAGGUUACAGUGAGCCAUGAUCGUGCCACUGUGAUCCAGCCUGGGUAACACAGCAAGACCCUGUCUCAA
ensembl:misc_RNA Metazoa_SRP Metazoan signal recognition particle RNA